rnacentral:misc_RNA from 1 species
GUAGGUGAACCUGCGGAAGGAUCAUGUAAACGUUUUUAAAACUUAAACAAGGGAUCGAAGCGAGUGGGUCACGAAGGGAAACUUUUGUGGCCUGUUUGUCUUCUUUUCCUUUUUAAACCCAUCGCGAACUGGAUUUCGUAGCAUUGGCUUCACGUGGUGCAAACGGCGCUCAGGUCUGGUCUCGCGACCAGACGCAGGUGUCGUUGACAUUGUGUGUGGGUCCUUGCGCACUUUUUCAUUUUUUCACCCC